AUUGAACGCUGGCGGCAGGCCUAACACAUGCAAGUCGAGCGGAUGAAGGGAGCUUGCUCCUGGAUUCAGCGGCGGACGGGUGAGUAAUGCCUAGGAAUCUGCCUGGUAGUGGGGGAUAACGUCCGGAAACGGGCGCUAAUACCGCAUACGUCCUGAGGGAGAAAGUGGGGGAUCUUCGGACCUCACGCUAUCAGAUGAGCCUAGGUCGGAUUAGCUAGUUGGUGGGGUAAAGGCCUACCAAGGCGACGAUCCGUAACUGGUCUGAGAGGAUGAUCAGUCACACUGGAACUGAGACACGGUCCAGACUCCUACGGGAGGCAGCAGUGGGGAAUAUUGGACAAUGGGCGAAAGCCUGAUCCAGCCAUGCCGCGUGUGUGAAGAAGGUGUUCGGAUUGUAAAGCACUUUAAGUUGGGAGGAAGGGCAGUAAGUUAAUACCUUGCUGUUUUGACGUUACCAAAAGAAUAAGCACCGGCUAACUUCGUG
rnacentral:rRNA from 1 species